AAAGGCGGAAGUCGUUUCGUUUCGUCGUGUUUAAGGUCGGAGCGUGUCGUCUCUGUUUUCGUUAAUUAAGCUAAAAACGAGUCUCCAAAUUGUAUGUAAAACAAGAUGAUAAGCAACCUAAUGAAAUCCGUAGAUGUCGAAACGUGGAGGUGUUGUCAACUGUGUCAGAAACGUCGAGAUAAGAAUGGCUUCAAGCGUCACUAUAUUUCCGAGUUCUACGAGAGCGGCUAAUAGGACUCUGAACGCCUCUGGUGCGUUCACGUACCUGCAACACUGUGGCAAUACAGUGCAGGGAGUUUAAAAACGUCUUUCUGGACCUGCUAUGAAGACUUCUUGGCUCGAAAAGGCGGCUGAAACACCACAAGGGGUCUACGUCCAGUACAUCGCCCGAGACCCUAACGAAGCACAAUGAUGAACAUCUACGAGUGUGAUGUAAUGAAAUGGCAAUGACAAAUUAAUCGUUAAUUCAAUACGAUAGAUUUGUUUGGAUACAGCUUGUUGUAAGAGGAGCAGAGCUGUCCAUGGUGCUGAAAGCUAUUUGUUUGUUCUAAUGACCCAAACAAUGAGUUCACUCUUUCAUAUUUGAGAUUGAAAUAGUGUAACAUAGGUUAUUGGAUGCACCUGCACAAAUUAUGCAAUACUUGGUCUUCCUUUGCAAACAUAAUACACAUUUGUUAAAUUGUUUCUACUAUUUGAAUGCAAUGCGGUGAUUUACAACUUUCAAUUGGGUCUGUAAUGGAUAAAUAAAAUAUUCAGAACAUAUCAUGUGUAUGAUGCAGUGCAGUUGUACACGUGUGCAAACUGUAAAAUUAAAGAAAUACCAUUUUUGCCUGCAUCUUUUUGCUUUAGAUUAUGUACUGUAUUGGCUCGUGUGUGUGUGUGUGUGUGUGUGUGUGUGUGUGUGUACCUAAUGCUAUGUCCCUCGGGAAACUUGCUGUUGAGUGAAAUGUCUUUUUUUUUUUAUUCAUUUUGUGUUUUCCCAAAAUAAAGCAGACGUCUCAUUGCCUCUUUGUCACACAUGUUCAAUUAAGAAGGGUUCUGCAAUACCAAAUUGUGUGUCCCAUGUUGAAAUGUCUUCAAAUCAAUUGAAUGAAUUUUGUCUGACUGUGACUAAAUUGGAUUGCAAUGUUGUGUGUGUGUGUGUGUGUGUGUGUAUGUAUGUGCUGCAAGCUCUCAAGACCCCGUAGCUGUCAGACCAGGAUUUUGACAUCUCCGAGCUGGAGAGACCCCGCAACUCAAAGCAUCUUGAAAUACUAAUAAAAAUGUUUGUGGUUCUAUGAAUUUGAUUGUUGAUGACUAACACAGACAAGACACUUCUUUUGAUUUCUUUUAGUUGUGAAUUUGAAGUCAAUUUAUUCCUGAUCGCCAAUAAAGCAAAGUCACACACGA